AAACUUACCUGGCUGGGGGGCUCUCGCGAUCAAGAAGGCGGGACCCCCAUGGUGAGGCCNUUCGGAUCCCAUCGCUGACUUGUGUGAAACGGGAUACUUCUAGCAUCCUCCUUUCGACUGCGCGUUC
rnacentral:snRNA from 15 species